AAGUCGUAACAAGGUUUCCGUAGGUGAACCUGCGGAAGGAUCAUUACCGAAUUGUCAACAAGAGUUGUUGCUGGUCCUCAAAACGGGGGCAUGUGCACGCUCUGUUAACACAUCCACUCACACCCUGUGCACCCUCUGUAGUUCUGUGGUUGGGGGGCAUGUCCCUCCCGCUGUGGUUCUGCAUCUUUACACACACACUGUAACAAAGUCUCAUGGAAUGCAUCCGCGUUUAACGCAAUACAAUACAACUUUCAGCAACGGAUCUCUUGGCUCUCGCAUCGAUGAAGAACGCAGCGAAAUGCGAUAAGUAAUGUGAAUUGCAGAAUUCAGUGAAUCAUCGAAUCUUUGAACGCACCUUGCGCCCUUUGGCCAUUCCGAAGGGCAUGCCUGUUUGAGUAUCAUGAACACCUCAACUCUUCAUGGUUUUCCGUGAUGAGUUUGGACUUUGGGGGUUUUGCUGGCCUACGGUCGGCUCCUCUAAAAUGAAUUAGCUUGCCAGUGUUUGGUGGGCAUCACGGGUGUGAUAACUAUCUGCGCUUGUGGUUUUCCACCAGGGUAACCUUCAGCAGUGGGGGUUCGCUGGAGCUCACAGAUGUGUCUCUCCUCAGUGAGGAUGGCCCUUUGAAUGUUUGAUCUCAAAUCAGGUAGGACUACCCGCUGAACUUAA
rnacentral:rRNA from 1 species